UUGGUGGUAGUAGCAAAUAUUCAAGUGAGAACCUUGAAGACUGAAGUGGGGAAGGGUUCCAUGGUAACAGCAGUUGGACAUGGGUGAGUCGGUCCUAAGAGAUAGGGGAACUCCGUUUCAAAGUGUGCGCUUGUUCGCACGGCCUAUCGAAAGGGAAUACGGUUAAAAUUCCGUAACCGCAAUGUAGAUUCUGAACGGCAACGUAAAUGAACUUGGAGACGCCGGUGUGGGCCCUGGGAAGAGUUAUCUUUUCUCCUUUACAGCUUAUAACCCUGGAAUCGGAUUAUCCGGAGAUAGGGUCUAAUGGCUGGUAGAGCAUUGCUAUUUUGUAAUGUCCGGUGCGUCCACAACGGCCCUUGAAAAUCCGAGGGAAUGAAAAAGUCUUACAUGCGAUCGUACCCAUAUCCGCAUCAGGUCCCCAAGGUGAUCAGCCUCUAGUCCAUAGAAUAAUGUAGAUAAGGGAAGUCGGCAA
rnacentral:rRNA from 1 species